rnacentral:rRNA from 1 species
UAAGGAAUAUUGGUCAAUGGACGCAAGUCUGAACCAGCCAUGCCGCGUGAAGGAUGAAGGUCCUCUGGAUUGUAAACUUCUUUUAUCUGGGACGAAAACGGGAUUUUUAUCUCAAUUGACGGUACCAGAGGAAUAAGCACCGGCUAACUCCGUGCCAGCAGCCGCGGUAAUACGGAGGGUGCGAGCGUUAUCCGGAUUUACUGGGUUUAAAGGGUGCGUAGGUGGGCUCAUAAGUCAGUGGUGAAAUCUCCGAGCUUAACUUGGAAACUGCCGUUGAUACUAUAGGUCUUGAAUUAUCUGGAGGUAAGCGGAAUAUGUCAUGUAGCGGUUAAAUGCUUAGAUAUGACGUAGAACACCAAUUGCGAAGGCAGCUUACUACAUAUAAAUUGACGCUGAGGCACGAAAGCGUGGGGAUCAAACA